rnacentral:rRNA from 1 species
AGAAUAUUCGACAAUGGGCGAAAGCCUGAUCGAGCGACGCCGCGUGCAGGAAGAAGGCCUCCGGGUUGUAAACUGCUUUUACGUGGGAAGAACUUGGACGGUACCACGGGAAUAAGGGGUUGCUAACUCUGUGCCAGCAGCAGCGGUAAUACAGAGACCCCGAGCGUUAUCCGGAUUUACUGGGCGUAAAGCGCGAGCAGCCGGUCGUAUUAGUCUGAUGUAAAAGGACAAGGCCCAACUUUGUCAUCGCGUCAGAAACGGUACGGCUUGAGUGGGUAAGAGGUAGGCGGAACGUGUAGUGUAGGGGUGAAAUCCACUGAUAUUACACGGAACACCAAAAGCGAAGGCAGCCUACUAGUGCCUUACUGACGGUCAGUCGCGAAAGCGUGGGGAGCA